GACGAACGCUGGCGGCGUGCUUAACACAUGCAAGUCGAACGAGGAAUGUUUGGCUUUCGGCUGACAUUCGAGUGGCGGACGGGUGAGUAACGCGUGAGCAAUCUGUCCCACAGAGGGGGAUAACAACUGGAAACAGUUGCUAAUACCGCAUAAGACCACACUGUCGCAUGACAGAGAGGUCAAAGGAGCAAUCCGCUGUGGGGUGAGCUCGCGUCCGAUUAGUUCGUUGGUGAGGUAACGGCCCACCAAGACAGCGAUCGGUAGCCGACCUGAGAGGGUGAUUCGGCCACAUUGGGACUGAGACACGGCCCAGACUCCUACGGGAGGCAGCAGUGGGGAAUAUUGGGCAAUGGGCGAAAGCCUGACCCAGCAACGCCGCGUGAGGGAAGAAGGUUUUCGGAUUGUAAACCUCUGUCCUAAGGGACGAAGGAAGUGACGGUACCUUAGGAGGAAGCCCCGGCUAACUACGUGCCAGCAGCCGCGGUAAUACGUAGGGGGCGAGCGUUGUCCGGAAUGACUGGGCGUAAAGGGCGUGUAGGCGGCAGUAUAAGUCCGGAGUGAAAGUCCUGCUUUCAAGGUGGGAAUUGCUUUGGAGACUGUACAGCUUGAGUGCGGAAGAGGUAAGUGGAAUUCCCAGUGUAGCGGUGAAAUGCGUAGAGAUUGGGAGGAACACCAGUGGCGAAGGCGACUUACUGGGCCGUAACUGACGCUGAGGCGCGAAAGCGUGGGGAGCGAACAGGAUUAGAUACCCUGGUAGUCCACGCGGUAAACGAUGAAUGCUAGGUGUAGGGGGUAUCGACCCCUUCUGUGCCGGAGUAAACACAAUAAGCAUUCCGCCUGGGGAGUACGGCCGCAAGGUUGAAACUCAAAGGAAUUGACGGGGGCCCGCACAAGCAGCGGAGCAUGUGGUUUAAUUCGACGCAACGCGAAGAACCUUACCAGGUCUUGACAUCGAUCCAAAGCUACAGAGAUGUAGUGUGACUUCGGUCAGGAGAAGACAGGUGGUGCAUGGUUGUCGUCAGCUCGUGUCGUGAGAUGUUGGGUUAAGUCCCGCAACGAGCGCAACCCUUAUUGUCAGUUACUAACGGGUAAAGCUGAGGACUCUGACGAGACUGCCGGGGACAACUCGGAGGAAGGUGGGGACGACGUCAAAUCAUCAUGCCCCUUAUGACCUGGGCUACACACGUGCUACAAUGGUGGUAACAAAGAGGAGCGAGCCCGUAAGGGUAAGCGGAUCUCAAAAAAGCCAUCUCAGUUCGGAUUGUGGGCUGCAACCCGCCCACAUGAAGUUGGAGUUGCUAGUAAUCGCGAAUCAGCAUGUCGCGGUGAAUACGUUCCCGGGCCU
rnacentral:rRNA from 1 species